rnacentral:lncRNA from 10 species
GUGGCAACCAGCUUGGGUCUGCUCCCACGCUGUUGGGGCGGGGGCGGGGGGGGGGUUGUUCUUUUGCUCCUUGGGUCCACACUGCGUUUAUGAGCUGUAAUAUUCACCGCAAAGGUCUGCAGCUUCACUACUAAGCCAACGAGACCACAAACCCACCAGGAGGAACGACAAUUCCAGACGCGUGGCUUUAACAGCUGUUAACACUCACCGCGAAGGUCUGUAGCUUCAUUUCUGAGUCAGCGAGACCACGAACCCACCAGAAAGAAGAAACUCCGAACACACCCGAACCUCAGAAGGAACAAAUUCCGGACACGCCGCCUUUAAGAACUGUAACACUCACCACAAGGGUCCGCGGCUUCAUUCUUGAAGUCAGUGAGACCAAGAACCCACUAAUUCCGGACACACUUUGACCAGCAGAGCAGGCAGAAGUAAAGCCACGGUUCACAGAAGUGGGCUGCCCCGGCUGGACACAGGCUCAAUCUUGCUGGAAUCUGUCCUCUUACUCCCCUACCCCAGCCCAGUGCCCCACCAGCGUGCUCCACUCAGCAUCCUGAUUUUCCCUGGAAUGUGCCACUUUGCCACCAUUUCCCUUUCAACAGAUGGAAUGGAACCCUUCCCCAGACCACAGCUUUAACAGCCGAUCUUCAGAAGCCAGAGGCAGCCUCCCCCAACGCCAGUGCCCUGGGUCCAAGAGCAGAAUCUCAGUGUUCCUGCAGAAGUCACCAUGGAAGAAUAAUCGUGUUGUGAUUUUGAAAGGAAAUUGAAAUCCCCUCUUUACUGCUUUCUAAAUGAACCUUAUAAUUUUC